GUAAAUUGGUAGUGUUAGUUGACUGAACUCAAGGUCAGGAGAACUCUGAUAUAAAAUAACAACUAUAUUCUCUAGAACAAUUUAUUGGUUAAUAGCACCGGGAAAAGUUUUAAAUUGUAAUACACUUGAUAUCCCCCUUUUAAGUUUCAAACUGUAGUACACUGUAUAUCCCUUUCUUUUUUGCGAGUGCAUUCUUGCUGCACACAUUACACUCACAAGGACUAAACUACAAAGUUUUGUUUGGUUGAGGCCUGAAUAUGUGAUCCUCUUUCUUCUCUCGAAUUCUCUGACUAGAAAGAUUAGAGAGUGUGCAACAUGAUCUUGCUGUUGCAAAAUUGUUAAUUGUGUACAACAGGAAUUGUGGGAAUGCUAUUUUUUUUUAUGGAAACUUGAUUCUUGUAUUUCAAUGUAAAAAAUGAUAGAUUCUAGGCCUCUUUUAGGCUUUGGGUGUUUACUUUUUUUUUUGUUUGAUAAUGAUGCUAUCGAAUGUUCUUUAGGUAUCUAGUGUUCUCUGCCACAAGCAGAGUCGUAGUCUCUAAGAUGCUAACAGAAACUGUGUUUCUCUUGCAGUCCCGAGGUCGAGGACUUGAUGAUGAUGCAAUUGAGAAAAUGUUGCACGAUCUGUCUUUGAUAAAGAAAUUCGACUAAAGCUGAGGCAACAUAUAUCACAUCAUUGUCAUCUUCUGUAAUAAUUCAGAUUAAUUGCCUGUGGUAAUUCUAAAUCCAUGUUGCAGAAAAAUGGUGAACAUAUUAAUUUGUGCAAGGUAGCUUUAACCUAAUGUUUAAUAUAAUUCUCUUGUAAUGGUAGCUUCAAAUUUGACGUCUAUGCUUUCAUAGAUUUGAUAAUAUGCCAUUUUUGGCUUAUUUGUUUUAAAUUCUAAUUAUGGGUGUCCUAAAAUUAAACUCCAACACUUAAAUGUUACUCUCUUUUUCCGUCAUUUCUUUAUACUUUUUUUUUGUCGCUUUCAAUUAUUUAUAUUUCAAAAUUUAUUUAAACUUAUCUAAUAGUAAAAUUUUAUAAUAUAAAAAUCAAUCAUAUUCAUUAUUUUUCUCCACAAUACUCACAUUAUUCGCUUUCACCUUUUACUCUAUUCAUUCUUUUCUUUCUUUCUUUUUUGUCAGGACUCUCUAUUCAUUCUUGUCUCCACUAUUUUGAUUUUUUUUUAAAUUUAUAUGUCCAAAUUAUUUGUAAACUAAUGAAAGGGAUAACGAAUUAAUUACUUUUCUUAAUCUCAAGGAAGUCAGUCGUGAAUUUUUUUUCUUAAUGAUGGUCAAAUUGAUAAAAUCACAAAUCACUCGACGUGUUUGUAUAAUGUAAUUUUUUGUCCCAUCAAAUAAUAGGAAAUUGGAAACCAGACCGACCACUGGAAGAAGUGCCAGUUGUGGGAAGUCACAGGUAGACAGCUAAAUGCAGUGCUCUAUAAAGUUGUAUCCUCCGCGUGCAGUAACGAGACAAAGAAUUAAAAAGUAAAUGUAUUGGAACAUAAAAUUAGAGAACACUGAAUACUGAUUUGUGAAUUACUCUGGAUGCUCCAACUAUUUUCUUUGCACUUUCUUCGUGGGGUUUGUCUAGUGCGUACUCAUGGGCACAUGCUAAGCAUGGAAACUCGUAAAUUUGAUGUGUUUUCAUUGGUGUGAUUGGUGUGAAUGCAGGGGCCAUCAUUAUUAAAGAAGUGUAAGCCAAUCAAAACACAAAAAACUAUCAAAUUUUGUGCUUAUUGUGUGUCCAUGGGCACACACUAGAAAAACCGUUCUUCAUGUCCCAUAUAACAUUUUAUACUUAAAAUUUUAUCAAAUAUUUAAGUUACGAAUUUAAAACAAACUUACAUUAGCUUGCCUUAAAUCAUAUUCGGCCACUGGACUGUCAUUUGUUACGAAUUAAUCGGUAAGUAUUCAAAAUAGGUUUUAGAAGCAAAAAAAACACAUGAAAUCUAGCUUUUUUUCGGAUUUGAAAUUGUUAAAUAAUUUUAAAAUCUAUCCAAACACUUCUAAAAGCAUUUUCAGUGAAGUCGGGCAUAAUAUUUUACUAUAUUGGACCUCUAAUUAAAGUAGCUUGUUGCAUGAGAUUGUAUAUGUGACUGUUUGGCAACGGCCUAAAUGCUAGUUUGUAGGUUGGGUUUAUACCGUUAAGAAUGCUAGCUUUUAUUUCAGGAUUUUUACUUAUUUAUCAAAUAUUUUAAUUACUUAUAAGUCUUAACUUGUUUCUUCAGAUUUCUACUCUAUUUUAUUAUUUUAAACUCACCUAAACGGCCCUUAUGUUUAGUAUAAAGAAUUCAACAUAUAUUUUGAGAUUUUAUAAUAUAUAAUUUUAUCAAUUAUUUUAAGUUUGUUCUAAAUAAAAAUUAAUAUCUAUUUUUUUUAUUAAAAAACAAAUUUUUAAAAAUAAUUAUAGAAUUAUUUUUUAAAGGUGCGUUGUAACAGUGCUACUAUUUGGUUAAUCUUAUUUUUCAUAAUGAGAGUUUAUUUAUGAAAAAAAUUAUAUAAAUAUACUUUUUUUAUCGAAUAAGUCCUUUUUUAUAUCAAAUAACAACAACUAAAAAAAUACAUUUUUAAUUUUUAUAUCUAAAAAAGUUAUAAAAAAUUAUUUGCCAAAAUAUUAAAUCCUUAUUUGUUUAAAAACAAUAGUCCCUAGACAGUCCCAAUAUUUACGUUGUUGACGCAGUUUGACACUUUAGAAUAAAACUUAGAUUGUCUAACCAGAAAAAGAAUAAAUGAACAUUUUUGUUUGUUUAACAAAAGGGUGUUAAUUUAUUACCUGUAACGCUCAUGAGCUGAGCAAGAAAUGAGUAGGUCUGCAUUACCCACACGGUAUCUCCGCUGUCAUCUUGCUGUACCACUUCUUACAUCCAACUUUAUAUACAGAUAAACUCCUCCAUCACACAACUAAACACACAAUAUCUCCAUCUGGGCUGUUUGUUUCAGACACAACUCAAUUCUACUACUAAAUCAUCUUCAACUCUUCUCCGAAGCUACUCCAGUUUCAUCUAUGGCAGAUCACAAAGAUGUAAGAAUCUUUUACUCUAACUUCAGACACACACAGCUUGUCCCAAGUUUCUGACUUCUGUUGAUUUUCUUGUUCUUGUUUUUACAGAUAAUUGUUUACCCCUGUCUUUUAUUUAGUUCUAAAUAUGGGCUUUGUUAACACUUUUUUGUGAAAUUAUCUAGAUUUUUUAAUCAGUGUACAAGAAAGAAAAAUAGGGGCUAAGCUUGAGUUGAUAAUUUGGUAGUAUAUACUGCAAUUGCCAAAAAGCUUGUAUAAUUGAAAGGAGUCACACACUCAUACUUGUGAUACUGUUAAAUUCAUUGAAUCACCUUGUUAUUGGUUUCUUCUGUUUUUUUUUUUUUUUAAUUGCUUUUUACAUGAGAAUAAGAAUCUAAUUACCAACAAAACAAGAGAAAGCAAAAAGAAGAAGAAAAUUUGAUCUUGAUUUGACUACUGUACAUGUCUGAUGUCUUUAUGUAUUUUGUAAUUUGAGGUAUCAAGAUGCAUAUUCUGCAAGAAUUGUGAGUUGUGACACUUUACCUUGCUGCCAUAGUUCCAAGCACGACCAUCGGAUAUACUAAAUUACUAAUUAUUAGAAGAGCAAGAAACUGUCAAGUGACGACAUGAUAGAAAAUCUUGAGUUUUAACCCAAUUUAUCUUUGUCAUAUUAUUAGAAAAAUACCGGACUAAUUUGUAAGUGACGAUAUGAUCUUUUGGUUUUAGAAAAAUGCACCAUGGCUAUCUGUGCCACAAUUUGGGGACUGGGACCUAAAGGGGCAAGUACCGGACUACUCCAUGGAUUUCUCGAAGAUAAGAGAAAUGAGGAAACAGAACAAGAGGGAUGUAUCAAGAGCCAGUCUUGGCAAUGAAGAAGAACUCAUAUCCUCAGCAACCAAACCAAGCUCGGGCCACCAAACUAUUCAUCACAAUUACAAUCAGGACCACUCUCCAACUGUAAGAUUUCUUGGUUUAUUUGCUUUCAAUUUAUGCUUGUUCGUAAUAUUAGUUUGCUCGUAGUCAGUAACAAAAAUUUAGUUUGAUUUUAUACUACAGUCAUUCAAACGGGUGUAGUUCUUAUUUGGACAAUGGAUGAUGAGUCGUUAAAAGUAGGUGACAAAUUUUACAAUGGAUGUUGUGGGGAACAAGCUCCUAACUUUUAUACCCUAUAUCAUGUGGAAUUUUAAUCUCACAAGUUCCUGAUAUUGUAUUAUACUCACACACAUGUCUUGAUUCCAAUGAACCUUGCACAAAAGGUUAAGUUCAAUAAUAAGGUAACCAUGGGCGGUUCCUAUCUUUACCAGAAGGUUCUGAAUUAUGUGCUUCAUAUUGUUUAAUCAUAUAUAUUCUCUGAAUUAUGUGCAUUAUAUUGUUUAAUCAAAUACAUUCCGAAUGUGUAUAUGCGUUACUACUGAUUGAUCUUUUGGUAUUAAUAGAAUAUUAUGACAGAUAGCAUUCCAUGUGCUUCAUGGUUUAUAAUUUUUAGUAAAAUCUUUAUGAAACGCGCUAAGGGGCAUCUGGUACAAGGUGGUUAAAAUGAAAUCAGAAUUUUAUUCUCAUGUGUUGGUGUUUAGAUGGAUAAUUUAUAUGUUUAGAAUGGUUAACCCAUUUGUUGAACUGGGCAACACAAACCUCCUAGUGUUUGAAUGGAUAAUAUAUUUGUUUAACUGGGUAACGCAAACUACUAGACCCACAAGUUCCUCGUUCCCUUGCUCGCAUCUUCAGUCCCAUUUCCAUAACAAUUCAAACACUUAAUAUAAUCCUGACAGAUUUAUGUUUUCUUGGUUGAAUUUUCUCCUCUUGACAGUCACUCGACAAAUAGUUGAUAUUGAUUAGUACAUUUGUUUAAACCUUGCAGAUGCGGAGGAGCAUUUUCAGCUACUUCAACUGCUGUGUCAAAGCGUGAGGAAGAUAUUCAAGAGCAAUUUUUUUAAUGUUUUUGAACAGACAUCUGUAAGAUGAACUUAAGUUACCAAAGACUCUUGUCUGUUAGCUAUUGAAGUAUGAAUGUAGAUAUGUACUGAAACAAGUUUCCCUUUUAUCACAAGCAAUUUCCCUUUCUCUGUUCUGUAGUUCUUGCAUCUGGAUAUGGUAACAAGUAACAACCACACUCGCCCAUCACACCUAUUGGUUCAACGCCAUCUCUCCCUCUCAUCUCUUUUUAUAAAUGUUAUUUGCCAAAUAAUAUUUACUUAUUUUAUCAAGAGAAGAAGUGACAUGGUUUUCAAUCUGUAAAGUCGAAAUAUAGAGUGAUAUGAUACAGUCAUAAGGGGACCAAAUAGUAAAACAACAUUCCUCAAAUAACCCUCAAACUAAGCCCGUCACUACCUGCGUUCAUCCAAAAGAGUUAAAUGGUCAAAACGUAAGCAAACUACGCCUCUAAUCACGCAGAGUGCUAAAUCAUAGAGAUCGUGAUUACGCCUCUAAUCACACGUAUUGCUAAAUCAAAGAGAUCGUGACAAGAUUAGAGCGGCUGGGGGAGAUGUAGGAGCUACUCUAAUGGUGGGAGCUCCUCCUUAAGCCUAAACUGGUCACCGGGCAGUCUAUGUUGUGUUUGGUCAGGGAGAAUGGAAUGCAAUGACUACAUAUAAAUGAAAAUAAUUUGGCCGGAAAAAAUAGAAUAGAAUGACUAAAUGACCGGAGAAUGGAAUGGAAUAAAUAUAUAUAAGUGAGAAUGGAAUGCAAUGACUACAUAUAAAUGAAAAUAAUUUGGCCGGAAAAAAUAGAAUAGAAUGACUAAAUGACCGGAGAAUGGAAUGGAAUAAAUAUAUAUAAGUGAAAAUAGUUUGAUUGGGAAUAAUAGAAUGAAGUGACUACAUAUCAAUGAAAAUUGUAGAGAUAAAAGCAAAGUUUCUGGCAGUAAAAUUAUUAUGAUGAGAUUUGAGACCAGGAGAAUGGAAUGGAAUAACUAUGUAUAAAUGAAAAUAGUUUGGUUGGGAAGAAGAGAAUGAAGUGACUACAUAUAAAUGAAAAUUGUAGAGAUAAAAGGAAAGUUUCUCAAACACAUAAAACACUAUGAUGAUAAGCCAUCUUAAACUCAUACUACUAUGGACAUAAAAGAAAGGCACACAAUCAAGCCAACAAGAAGAUCAAUAAUACAAACAACAAAUACACUUAAAUUCGAUAUUUUUGGCCAUAAUGUAUAUAAGUGAUGAUGAUAUUUCAAAGUUUUAAUCCUGAACCACCGAACUUUUCCUGGGUAAUGUGAUCCAACUUGGCAGCCAUCUCUGGAGUUAGACACUUAUUUCCUUCUCCAACUUGACCAUUCCGAAAAAAGGAAGAAUUGCUUAGUCCAGGCAACAAAUGUCCAGUGCUAUUAACCUGUAGUUUGCUCAUGCUCCCAAAACUACACAAACUCGUGAUCUGAUCAACCAUUUCCAUUAAUUCCUCUUCUGGUGAGAAGGGUCUUCCCAGAAACCGCGCCAGACGCCUGAUUUGAGUAUGAGGCUCAGACUUCAACUCUUCAUACCUCAUAAACAGCACCUUGUUUGGUCUUUCCAGGCUUUCUUGCCAAUAUCCCAAGAUUUGAUCCCAUAUAGGACCAGCCAAGUUUGUGCCUUGGCAGAACAAAUGAAAUGCCUCCUCCAAAGAAAUGGGAGAAGAUCGAACACCAGUAUUAUUGGCGAAGUGAAAGAGUGAAACAAAAGUGUCCUUGAUGUCCCUGCACAAAUACACAAUCUUGAUGUUAGUUGAUCCAUCAUCGUCCUCUGUUACGGACUUGGGGAGGCAGACUAUUGGAAAAUGGCAGGCAAAGAUCCUACUGCUGCUGUCUAAGAAGAAGGAGUCAUAUUCGGACGGCUUAGUUAAUGCGAUAAAAGGGACAAGCUGAUGAGGAGUUUUUUGUCGCAGAGGGUGAUGAGCAUCUUGAGGAUGAUGUUUCUGGCGGUUAAGUAAAGCAUAGAGAAUGGCUUUCAUCCAGGUGGUGCCAGAUUUGGGUGGAGUUACAAGGAAGACAUCGUUUUGUCGAGGUCGAAAAUGUUGUUGACAGUCGAUCAAGCCUUUCAAACUUAUAGAACCAAACCAGAAUCCUUGGUAUUGAUAAGUGUAGUCUUCAGUUAUGCCUUUGGCUUUUGGCAGGGAUGAAAGCCAUUCUUGGCUACAAACCACAGGCUCAGCGUCAGACUCUGUUGUUUUCGCUUCCAUGAUAUGUUAUGUUAACAUGCAAAGAAAAGACAUGUGAUAUAUUAUAAUAUUGGACACCACUAGCCCAGGGACCUAUAGCAUAUUCCUCGAUUAAAUAAUUGGAUUACAGCUCUACAAUCACAAACCGUUAGAAAGAGUAGGACCCCUAGGUAUUACAUUUAUGGAAAAUGCUUAUUGCACAUAAUUGUGUACUAAAACAUGUACAUAAUGAUAUGUGUCAGAUUUUAAUUGGAUGACCCCCUGCAUUUACACCAAUCACCCCAAUUAAAACCCACCACAUCACUUGCCACAUCAUUAUGUACAAAUUUUCUGUACACAAUUAUGUGCACCUAGCACUACUCUACAUUUAUAGUAGUGUUACAUACACAAAAUUGGAUACUCCCUCUGUCCCAUUUAAUUCUAUACGUUUCUUUUUAACUGCUCGACACGCAUUUCAAUGCUCUUAUAAAAUAUAGUUCCGUAACUUUUUUUUGAGAUUUUCUUUUUCUGUAUAAAAAUAUAACAUCCAAACUUUAAUACAGAAAAGAAAAAUUUUAAAAACAAAUUGCACAACUACAUUUUGCAGGAGCAUUAAAGUCCGUGCCGCGUCCCCGUCCCCCAAUGUAUACAACUCAGGGGGACGGAGGGAGUACAUAAUUUUGGACAAAAUGACAUGACAAGUAAGGUGGGAAGUUUUAAGUGGUGCUAUUAAUGCAUAUACAGGGGCCAAUCAAAUCACAAGUUAACACAUACUUAUUCUGUGAAUGUUUUUGUACACAAUCCUGUGCAUCUAACAUUUUCCUUACAGUUAAUAUAAAUACAUAUUUUAAAAAUUAUUUUAAUUUUUUUACAUUGUUGUGUGUGUCAGAAAUAAUUUUAAAAUAUAAUACAUAAACUUUGAGGGAACACAGGAGGUAAAGUAGCUAUUAGAGACUAAAUAUAUACACUGUUACCUCUCAAACAGUUAAAGUGAACGGCGUAUUUGGACGGAAUAGUGACUAGGGUUUACAACUUGCACGGUAAUGUCAAGUGUAAGGUGCAUAUUGCCACGUUUUAAAGUUUAGGUACUAAACUGCGUUUGAAGCAAAACUAAGAGAUACAAAAUGUAAUUAACUCUUCAAUUAUUUCCCAGCUGAUUGACAAAUUUGCUGUUGUUUAUCCACCCAGCAGUUGCUCAGUCAUUUGUAGUGUACAGAAUGCUACUCCCUCCGAUUCUAAUUACUUUUCCCGUUUGAAAUGUCGGUACUGUUCAUAACACGAGACAAAUUACUAAUUUACGUAUAAUCUAUAAGAUAAAAUAUAGUCAUGAGUGAUCUUAUUGGAUUCGUAUUUAUAAGUACUUUAAUACGGUGAAAGUUUUAUAUUUAAAACUAAUAUAAAAUUAAAGAUAUUUAUAAUCAAAAAUGUGUAUUGGCAAACGUGAAAAGGACAAAUGGGAAAAGUAUUUAGGGACGGAGGGAGUAACAGACAUAGGCAACAUCAUCGUUUAAUCUUAGUAUUGGCCAAUAAAUUCAGAUGAAACUGUGGUUUCUUUCAGAUUUGGGUGAAUCGGCAUAUAUGAUAUACCUGACAUUAGUAGGAUAUAAAUAGAAAUAGCCUUGCUUUCGUAUUUUUUUCUUGUUGAGUUACGGUGAGAAGUUAUUAUUGCUCAAUAUUUAUAUUCAGACAUAAUUUUGAUAGAUUUUGGAGUCUUCUAAUUAGAAUAUGAUAAUAAGGUGAUGAUUUUUGCAUGAGUAUAUCAAAUUUAUAUAUUCACUUUUCAUUAUGUAAUACACGCCUAUGACUCAAUGGGGUGGACAAUCAAAAUCGCCUAAAAACCAAAGAUAUUAUUGACAUGCAUGCAUCUGGUGUAAAUAUAAUUCCUAACUAUGUUAUAAACUCCCUCACCAACUAUUGGAUACAUCACAUAUGCGAAAUUUAUUAAAAUCUUGUUAUUCGGGACUAAGGGAAUUUUUUGGAUAUUUUGAACUGAUAAUUUUGUGAGAUUUUCGGAGUAUUCUAUACUUUCAUAAUCAACGAAAAGUGUUGAAGUUUGCAUUUAAAUUCUAAAAACUCUUUUGCAUAAAAUGAAAAAUAAAUAUAAUUUAUUAACAUUCAUAAAUUAUUAUUACUUAAUUAAAAUCCGAAUCAAACAACACCUUAAUUGAAACGUGCUCCUGAGAAGGUACAGUACUUGGUAUACAUCGAGGGAGUACUACUUAAAAAUGCAUACAUAUGAUGAUAAGCCAUCUCAAACUCAUACUUUCAGGGACAUAAAACAAAGAGACACAAACAAGCCAACAAGAAGAUCAAUAAUACAAGCAACAAACACACAUUAAAUUCGAUAUUAAUUUUGGCCAUAAUGUAUAUAAGUGAUGAUGAUAUAUAUAUAUAUAUCAAAGUUUUAAUCCUGAACCACGGAACUUGUCCUGGGUAAUCUGAUCCAACUUAGCAGCCAUCUCUGGAGUUAGCCACUUAUUUCCUUCUCCAACUUGACCGUUCCGAAAAUAUGAAGAAUUGCUUACUCCGGGCAAGAAAUGUCCUGUGCUAUUAACCUGCAGUUUGCUCAUGCUCCCAAAACUACACAAACUCGUGAUCUGAUCAACCAUUUCCAUUAAUUCCUCCUCUGGUGAGAAGGGUCUCCCCAGAAACCGCGCCAGACGCCUGAGUUGAGCAUGAGGCUCAGACUUCAACUCUUCAUACCUCAUAAACAGCACCUUGUUUGGUCUCUCCAGGCUUUCCUUCCAAUAUUCCAAGAUUUGAUCCCAGAUAGGACCCGCAACGUUUGUGCCUUUGCAGAAUAAAUGAAAUGCCUCCUCCAAAGAAACGGGAGAAGAUCGUAAACCCAGGGCCGGCUCAUAAUGAAGGCGAGUUAGGCAAUCGCCUAAGGCCCCCAUCUGGAGAAGGCCCCAAAAUUUUAUUGGUAUGUAUUUAUGUAGGUAUAUAUGUACAAAAAUAAAUAAACUAGCUUCAUGAUUUAAAAGAAUAAAAAAAAAAUAUUCGAAUUAUCUUACAAUAGGCCCCAAAAUGAAAUUAAUAUGUAUACAUUGAGGUAUAUUUAUAUAUGCAAAAAGAAAUUAGUUUCAUGAUAUUAAAAGAAAAAUUAAAAAAGAACUAGAAUUAAUAUCUAAAUCUGGUAAAAAAAUUGAGAAAUACUGUGUGAUAAUUUUUUUUGAAAAGAAUGAUAACUAAAAUAUUAAUAUUGAUAGUUUUAGUCAUGUUUUUUUUGUGCUAACUUAAUAAAUACUUGAUUUGAAUCUCUAACUAAUAAUAAAUAUGUAAAUAAUUUUUUUAUUGGGAUGUAACUUGGUUCUUGUGAACAUAAAAUUUAGUUCUCAAAAAUAAAAAAAUGUUAGAGAUUCUAUUAUGAUUUUUUCAGUCUCUCUUCAUUUUAAUUACUUUUUAAAUUUUAAUUUUAAUAACACAAAUACUUUUAUUAUAAUAUUAAAUAAUAUAAAACUAUCAAUGUAUAUAAGUUAUUUAUGUUAUACACAAGACACGUUACACUGAUUAACAUUAAUUUAUAAUGUUAAUGUCAUUUUUCAUCUCCGGGUCUUCUAGAGUCUAAACAAUUUACUUAAUUAUCUAAACAUCAUCUUUACUCUAUAUCUUUACUCUAUAUCUUCUCCGUCCAGUUUUUGCAAAAAAAAAAAAAAUUACUUCUGAGUUUUAUAUUAUAAUAUUUAAUAUUAAAAAAAUAUUUAUAUUAGUAAUAUAAUAUUUAAAUUUUUGCUUAGGCCUCAUUUUGAGGUUCCGCCUAAGGCCACAAAAUUUCUUGAGCCGGUCCUGCGUAAACCAAUUUUGUUUGCGAAGUGAAAGAGUGAAGUAAAAGUGUCCUUGAUGUCCCUGCACAAAUACACAAUCUUGAUGUUAGUUGAUCCAUCAUCAUCCUCCUCUGUUAUGGACUUGGGGAGGCAACGUAUAGGAAAAUGGCAGCCAAAGAUCCUACUAGUGCUGUCUAAGAAUAAGGAGUCAUAUUCGGACGGCUUAGUUAAUUCCAUAAAAGGGACAAGCUGAUGAGGAGUCUUUUGUCGCAGAGGGUGAUGAGCAUCUUGAGGAUGAUAUUUUUGGCGGUGAAGUAAAGCAUAGAGAAUGGCUUUCAUCCAGGUGGUGCCAGAUUUGGGUGCAGUUACAAGCAAGACAUCGUUUUGUCGAGGCCGAAAAUGUUGUUGACAGUCGAUCAAGCCUUGCAAACUUAUAGUACCAAACCAGAAUCCUUGGUAUUGAUAAGUGUUGUCUUCCGUUAUGCCUUUGGCUUUUGGCAGGGAUGAAAGCCAUUCUUCGCUAUAAACCACUGUCUCAUCAUGCUCUGUUGUUUUUGCUUCCAUGAUACUUUGUUGUGUAACAUUGAAAGCAAAAAAAUGUGAUAUAUAAUGCAUUCAGCAUCAAUGCCUUGCUCUGUCGUUGGUGGCGUUGGUUUCCCUGCAGGUAAACGUUAUAUAUCAUAUUAAUGCUCGCAUCCGAGUUGGUUGGAAAAUUGAUAAAACUAACAAACAUUUCCAAUACUAUCAACAUGUCUGCCCAACAUGUGUGAGCCUAUUAAUAGACAUGGGCAAUACUAUCAUCGUUUAAUCUUAACAUUGGUCGAUAAACUAAGACCAUCUCCAAUCAUAAUUUUAUAAAUAAAGCAACUUCAUCUUUAUUUUCACUUUUUUCACUUUAUAUUUUUAUUCCAUCUCCAAUCAUUACUUUAUUUUAUAAAUAAAGCAAUUUGUGUUUUAUCUUCAAGUUCAACUUCAUAUAUAAAGUAGGAUAGUGCAUGACUUUAUAUAUAAAGAUAGAGUAAUAGAUGAUCGGAGAUGGAUUACUUUAUUUGAAAAAUUAAAAGUGAAGAUAUACUAAGUAUAGAGUGAUGGUUGGAGAUGCCUUAAGGUUGUUUCUAUCUGAUCUGGGUGGCCUUGGAUAUUAAUGCUUGCACCAGAGUUGGUUGGAAUAAUUUGAUAAACAAAGACGUGAUGUUGAUAUAAUGCAUUCACCAUUGAUGUCUUGUUGAUAGAGGUGGCCAAACGGACUAAACCGACUGAACCGGCACGCCCCGAACCGGGUUUUUAACCGCCCGAAACCGUCUAAAUACGGGCCGGUUCGAAACCGUCAUGAACCGAUAUGAGCACGUGCCGAAUACGGGUUGACAAAUAAGGAACCGAACCGUAACCGGCCCGGAACCGCUAGAAUCCAUGGAACCGACGCAGUUGGAACCGCGGAACCGCGGUUUGAACUGUGGAACCGCAAAACCGCGGAACCGCGGUUCAAACCGUGUAAGGUGCAUGUACAAAGGGUGCUUGGUAACCAAUUUUGUGAUAUAAUUACAAGUUUUUGCUUUCUGUAUUUUUGUACAGGGGUAUUAAUUUGUUACUCUUUGUUUUAUUUCGUUUGUUUUGUUAAUUUUAGUUUUUGUUUAGUUAGUUUAGUUUAUUUCGUUAACCUUAAAUAUAGUUUACUUAAUUUUAUUUCGUUUUAGUUAUUAAGUUUAGGUAAUUUUAUUUAAAAAAAUAAUUUAGUUAGUUUUAUUUCGGUUAAGUUUUCAUACUCAAAUAAUUUUCGUUUAGAAAAAUAAUUUAGUUAAUUUUAUUUAGGUUAAGUUUUUAAAUUUAGGUAAUUAUUUAUUAGUUUACAAUUUAUUGAUAAUUAAUUUCAUAUUAAUACUUAACAAAAAUAAUUUCCCAAAUUAAUAUCAUAUAAAACUUUAUUAUCAAAAUUUUAAAUUUUAAGAAUUAUUAAAAUUUACACAUGUUAUUAUAAAACAAAAAAAAAACAAAAAAGCAACACAUGCAUGUUAAGUGAGCCAGACAAUAAUUGAAGAGCCACGCUGAACCGCAGAACAUGAACCGCGAACUGCGGAACCGCUUAAACCGGCACGAACCGCCAACCCGUCUCAACCGUGUGAACCGUAUAACACGGUUUCGGUUUUCAUUUCCAUCAGCCCGGCCCGGCACGGACCGGACAGCCAGUCUUGACGUGCCGGUUACGGUUUCAUCGCUGACAGUUCGGCCCGCGGUUGAAUUGGCCCGAACCGCCCCGGCCCGCCCGAAUGGCCACCUCUACUUGUUGAGCACUGCUUUAUUAUUAUUAUGGGUUUUUCCUUGCGUGAGUAGGCUAAAAGGUCGCUCAACUCAUGACCAACUUACAGUUUCAUAACUCAAAAAGCUUAUUAAUAAAUUACACAACUAGAUUUAACUUACUAUUUAAUCAUUAACAUUAAAAAUGUUUCCACCACCGUUAACUCUUGUUUGACUUUUAACUAAAAAUAUUAGUCAAUUGGGUCUUUCGGUUAUUUAAAUACAAAUUUUUAUUAGUUCCGUAAACCAACUGCAAGUUGAGGACCAUUCGAUCAUGUAUUAGCCUAUUGACUUGUUUCAUUUAAUAAAAAUGCCCUAUUCAGUUCAAACCCAAUUUUUUUGAAUAAAAUUAAUCUAUCAUCUUAUUAUGAAAUUAUAGAAGUGAUCCAUAAUUUUUUUUUAAAAAGGUACUCCCUCUGUCCCAUUUUAACUGAUGUUUGACUUUUUAACACGUAUAUUGAGGUGUAAAAAAAUAAUAUCUACACUCAAUAAAAAAUUUCAAUUCUUAUAUCAAAUAAAAGUUUAGACUCUAAACUUUUAUUUGAUAUAAAUUUUAUAAAAAAUAAUCAUGUUUAGAUGUAAUUUUUUUAACAUCUUAAAAUACGUGUAAAAAAGUCAAAAGCAGUUAAAAUGGGACGGAGGGAGUACUUUUUAAAAAAUUGACAUUUUUCUCUACUUUAAAUUUUAUUAAAUCAUAGAAGUGCUCAUUGUCCCCCCCCCCUAAUUUGAAAAUAUGAAGGUAAUUUCCAUAAAAUUGACAUUUUUCAUAAUUGUAAAUCUUAUGAAAUUAUUGAAGUUCAAAAUUUUUAUUGUGCGAGUCAUGAGAAUGAUUUAUAUUGGUGGAAAAUUUUGUUCUAUUCUACUAUUAUUAAUUAUUAAUGUGAUGAGAGUCAAUAAAAAUAUGUUAGCUAUUUAGAGAGUAAUUGGUUGUUAUGCCGGUUGAUGGCACAUACUAGAAAAUUGGAUUAUUAUUAAUAAUGCUUGCAACAAGUUUAUUGAAAAAAUUGAUAAAAAUAACAUCAUGUCAGUAGAAAACUGACCGAAAAUGAUAAUUUCCGGAUUUUAUUAUUACUCAAUUGCAAAGAGAGUAUUUGUAUUUGUGUGCAAAGAGACACUUGUUUCCCUCUCCAACUUGACCAUUCCGAAAGAAGGAAGAAUUGCUUACUCCAGGCAACAAAUUUCCAGUGCUAUUAACCUGCAGUUUGCUCAUGCUACCAAAACUACACAAACUCGUGAUCUGAUCAACCAUUUCCAUAUUCUCCUCCUCCGGUGAGAAGGGCCUCCCCAGAAACUGAGCCAGACGCCUGAGUUGAGCAUGAGGCUCAGACUUUAACUCUUCAUACCUCAUAAACAGCACCUUGUUUGGUCUUUCUAGGCUUUCCUUCCAAUAUUCCAAGAUUUGAUCCCAUAUAGGACCCGCCACGUUUGUGCCUUGGCAGAAGAAAUGAAAUGCCUCCUCCAAAGAAACAGGAGAAGAUCGUAAACCAAUAUUGUUGGCGAAGUGAAAGAGUGAAGUAGAAGUGUCCUUGAUGUCCCUGCAGAAAUACACAAUCUUGAUGUUAGCUGAUCCAUCCUCCUCCGUUAUGGACUUGGGGAGGCAACCUAUAGGAAAAUGGCAGCCAAAGAUCCUACUAGUGCUGUCUAAGAAUAAGGAGUCAUAUUCGGACGGCUUGGUUAAUGCGAUAAAAGGGACAAGCUGGUGAGGAGAAUUUUUCGCAGGGGGUGAUGAGCAUCUUGAGGAUGAUGUUUCUGGCGGUGAAGUAAAGCAUAGAGAAUGGCGCUUUCAUCCAGGUGGUGCCUGAUUUGGGUGCAGUCACGAGGAAGACAUCGUUUUCUCGAGGUCGAAAAUGUUGUUGACAGUCGAUCAAGCCUUGCAAACUUAAAGUACCAAACCAGAAUCCUUGGUAUUGAUAAGUGUAGUCUUCAGUUACGCCUUUGGCUUUUGGCAGGGAUGAAAGCCAUUCUUGGCUACAAACCAGUGUCUGAUCAUGCUGAGGAGACUCUGUUGUUUUCGCUUCCAUGAUAUUAGAGCUGUUCACGAACCGAGUCGAGCCGAGUUUUGACGUAAACGAGCCGAGUUUUUAUUUUUUCUCUGACGAACCGAGCCGAGCCGAGCUUUCUUACCGAACAAAAAAACAUGUUCGAGCUCGAGUUCGUUACCUCACGAGCCGAACACGAGCUUGUUCGCGAACAAAUUCGAGCCGAGUCGAGCUUGUUGUGUUAUCGAACAGCUCGUUAAAAUACAACAAUUACACAUAACAUUAGCCCAGCCCAACAAUCAAAAAACCUAAACAUAUACUAUACUCAGGGGUUCAUUCGUUCCCUAAUCUCUCAAUCCGUAGUUCUUAUAUCCCCAAAACCAAUCUCAGAUUCAAAAACCAGGUGGUGGUUCACGUCACUACAAGCAAGCCAAAUAACCUCACUCGGGCAUUCUUGUACAAGAGGUUUACCCAGAAUCCAAACUACUAUGAUCUGCAGGGUGUUAAUGGAAUGCAUCUGGAAGCAUUUGACUAACACACUUAGCGAUCUGGAAGCAUGGAAGCAAGUAAGUGCGUUGAUAUAGAGGAUGAUUGUAUCUUUCUUCUCUAAAUCUUGAGAUGAUAUCCUAAACGGCUAAGUCCAGAAGUUAGAAAGGUAUAGUAUUAUAAAAAUAUUCUGGGUACAAUUCAUAAUUUAUCGAGCUUUUAACGAGCGAGUUCGAGCCGAACGAGAUCGAGCCGAACACGAGCCGAGCUCGAGCCGAACAUACUGAAACUCGGCUCGAGCUCGUUUUGCUUAACGAACAGAUUUUCGAGUUCGAGCUCGAGCUCGAUUUUAUAAACGAACCGAGCCGAACGAGUUCUUAACGAGCCGAACACGAGCUUGUUCGCGAACAGCUCGGUUCGCGAACAGGCCUGCAUGAUAUGUUAUGUUAACCUGCAAAGCAAAGACAUGUGAUAUAUUAUAAUAUUGGACACCACUAGCCCAAGGGACCUAUAGCAUAUUCCUCGAUUAAAUAAUUGGAUUACAGCUCUACAAUCACAAACCGUUAAAAAGAGCGGGACCCCUAGGUAUUACAUUUAACCAUAUAAUCUCAAAUUUUCUAACAACUCAAUAUGCGGGAAUAGAAUACAAUAGUAAUAAAUUUAUUUCAGUAUCUAAAAUCAGAUGACAGUAAUUCUAGUUAUAACUGUUGCUUAGGGCUUCGGUCUGACCUUAAACUAAUCACAGUUGGUCUUACAUUCAAGCACUGGCCCCGACACAGUAUCAUGAACAACACUAGCUAGUAAAGGCCCUAACAACAGCAACAGCAAUAGCAUUGGUAUAUGCAUGGCAAGGCAUUUUUGAUUCGUGGAGAUGAUCAGGACACGCUUAUAUAUGCUUUACGGAUGGAGAAUUAUGGAAUAUGGAUGCGCAAUCAAAUUUGCCAAAAAGAAGAAGAUACCACUAACGUGCAUGCAUCUUGUAUAGAUAUAAAUACUCAUACACGGAUUAUUGAACACCAUGCAUACAUAUUCAAGUGUCCAACUUACAAAAAUUUAAAAUUGAUGGCUCAUGCACACUGCCCUAGUUUUCGGACCCACAUACGCGACAAGACAUAAUACAUUACUCCCUCCGUCCCGCUCAAUUCUAUACAAUUUUUUUUGGAUGUCCUAUCAUUUCCAUACAUUCCCAAGAUAACAACUUUUUAUAAUAUAAAUCAAUAAAACACUACUACAACCACAGUUUUAUCUCCACUAAUAAAAACACUAUUACACCCGGUAUUUUCCUCUACUGUCUAAAAUCUAUUAUUACAAAAUAUAUGAUCCUACCACUUUACCCGUUUUCUAUCUAACUUUCUUUACUUACUUCUUACCUUUUUUGUCUCCGUAUCCAAUCUCAUGUAUAUAAUUUAUUGGGACGUAAGGAGUAUUAAGUAAACAUUCAUGUAUAUAAGUAGAUAUCUUAACAAAAAUAACUAUUUAUGAUCAAACACGAAAGUGUAAGGAAUAUUACAAGAUGGGCAUCUUCUAUGUAUUAUUCUUUUUCCUCUCAUGGACAGACAUGACCACCAACCACGAUUAUCUAACUAAAAGAGUUCUACCAUUAUCUACCUAAAAGAGUUCGAGUAAGUAUCUAUCAGUAGAGCCGGCCAUUCGGGCGGUUUGGCUCGGCCCGAACCGAACCGAACCGUAAUUUAGCCCGCAUUUGCACGUUCCGGUUCGAAACCGGCACAAACCGGCACGAACCGUGGUUGACGACGAGCCGGUUACGGGUCCAAGAUCUUCGAUUCGCAAACCGUACAAACCGGCACGCCAAAACCGUUCCAACCCGCGUCAAACCACAACCCGCGUGAGCCCGCGGUUCACCGCAACCCGCGUGAACCGAAGCCCGCGCCAGCCCGUCUUGAGAGGGUAUUAUGUAUCAUUUUAAAAGUUCUUUGGCUGUGAUGCAGUGAUCAUAACUCAUUGCUUUGAUAUUUGUAGUUGUGGAUAGUAUUUUAUGCAUUAAUUUCUGCUUAACUUUUUAAUUUCUUAAUUAUUCUUCUUGUGUUAUUAAGAAAUUAUUUUCAAAAAAAAAGAAUAUUAUUGUAACAAAGUUAUUUCAUAGUAGAAAUAUAACAAAAAUAAUAUAUUUCUAUUUAUUUUUACAAUAACUAGAACUUUGCCAUUCUUGAAAUAUAAUAAAAAUAAUAUAUAUCUAUUUUUUUUAGAGAGGAGUCCUCUCACAUUAUUUGUAAAAUCUUUUUUUAAUAUAUAAAAUCUAUAAGAGGUGCCGCCCUCUUUUUACCAUUUUAUUAUUUAUUAGUUUAUAAUAAUUUAUUAUUAGUUAAAUUAAGAAAUUAAAUUCUAAAAUUAAAUUCCAUUGUAAAGUCCAGAUCAGUUGCACAUUAAUAUUAAAAACAAAAAACACAAUGAUUUGGUCACCUACUGUGACUCUACUAAGUAGGAAAUACUAACUAAAUCUAAGUGUAUUGGCCUGUCUGCUAAACCGCGGAACCGCCUGAACCGUGAACCGCACGAACCGUCUAACCCGCCAAACUCGUAGAAUCCGUAUAACACGGUUCCGGUUUCUAAUUUCUUCAGCCCGGCCCGGCACGGACCGGACCGCCAACUUAGACGGGCCGGUUACGGUUCCACCUGUGACGGUUCGGAAACCGUCUGAACCGGCCCGAACCGCCCCGGCCCGCCCGAAUGGCCACCUCUAUAUCAGGCCUACAAAUUAAGCCGAAGAAAGCGUCUUAUUAUCUGUGCAUGCAUCUGUAGAUUUGCAUGUGCAUUUUACGUAAAGGAUCUUUUUUAUAAAAUCUAAUUAUAUUCGUAUGAGAUAUUAAAAAAUAUAUUAGAUUCUUGAAUUUUUUUUAUUCAAAAUUUAAAUUAUUUUUAUCUGAAAAUCUAGUAUAUAAUUAUUGUUUUAAAUUAUAUAUAAAAAUUUAAUGAUAUUGAAUUAAGAUUAUCAAAAAAUAAUUAAAAUCUCAUGUACAUUCGAAGUAGAAUUUUUUGGACAUUACAAAAUGAUAAAUUUUGUGUGAUUAUCAGUAUAUUUUAUAUUUUCAUAAUUCACAAAAAUAUAAAAAAUUAUAUUUAAAUAUUAAAUCUCUUCUGCAUAAAAUAAAAAUUAUGAAAUAUAAUCUAUUAAAUUUAUAAAUUAUUAAUAAUUCAUUAACGUCCCAAUCAUAUAUAAAUAACACCUUAAUUAAAUCAAGCAAAGUACAAUAUUUGGUAUAUAUGGGAGUACAGUUUAAAAAUGCAUACAUAUGAUGAUAAGCCAUCUCACACUCAUACUUUCAUGGACAUGAAACAAACACACACAAACAAGCCAACAAGAAGAUGAAUAAUACAAGCAACAAACACACUUAAAUUCGACAUUUUUGGCCAUAAUGUAUAUAAGUGAUGAUGAUGAUAUAUCAAAGUUUUAAUCCUGAACCACGGAACUUUUCCUGGGUAAUCUGAUCCAACUUAGCGGCCAUCUCUGGAGUUAAACACUUAUUUCCUUCUCCAACUUGACCAUUCCGAAAAAAGGAAGAAUUGCUUACUUUAGACGAGAAAUGUCCAGUGCUAUUAACCUGCAGUUUGCUCAUGCUGCCAAAACUACACAAACUCGUGAUCUGAUCAAUCAUUUCCGAGUUCUCUUCCUCUGGUGAGAAAGGUCUCCCCAGAAACCGCGCCAGACGGGUGAUUUGAGCAUGAGGCUCAGACUUCAAGUCUUCAUACCUCAUAAACAGCACCUUGUUUGGUCUUUCCAGGCUUUCCUUCCAAUAUCCCAAGAUUUGAUCCCAUAUAGGACCACCCACGUUUGUGCCUUUGCAGAACAAAUGAAAUGCCUCCUCCAAAGAAAUGGGAGAAGAUCGAACACCAAUAUUGUUGGCGAAGUGGAAGAGUGAAACAAAAGUGUCCUUGAUGUUCCUGCACAAAUACACAAUCUUGAUGUUAGUCGAUCCAUCCUCCUCCUCCUCUGUUAUUGACUUGGGGAGGCAAACUAUUGGAAAAUGGCAGCCAAAGAUCCUACUAGUGCUGUCUAAGAAUAAGGACUCAUAUUCGGACGGCUUGGUUAAUGCGAUAAAAGGGACAAGCUGGUGAGGAGUUUUUUUGUCGCAGGGGGUGAUGAGCAUCUUGAGGAUGAUGUUUCUGGCGGUUAAGUAAAGCAUAGAGAAUGGCUUUCAUCCAGGUGGUUCCUGAUUUGGGUGGAGUCACGAGGAAGACAUCGUUUUGUCGAGGUCGAAAAUGUUGUUGACAAUUGAUCAAGCCUUGCAAACUUAUAGGACUAAACCAGAAUCCUUGGUAUUGAUAAGUGUAGUCUGGAAUUACGCCUUUGGCUUUUGGCAGGGAUGAAAGCCAUUCUUCGCUACAAACCAGUGUCUCAUCAUGCUCUGUUGUUUUUGCUUCCAUGAUAUGUUGUGUAACAUUGAAAGCAAAAACAUGUGAUAUAUAAUGCAUUCAGCAUUAAUGCCUUGCUCAGUCGUUGGUGGUGUUGGUUUCCCUGCAGGUAAACGUUAUAUCACAUAUUAAUGCUCGCAUUCGAGUUGGUUGGAAAAAUUGAUAAAUAUAACAAACAUUUUCAAUACUAUCUGAUUUGGGUGGCCUUGGUUUCCUUAAUAUUAAUGCUUGCACCAGAAUUGGUUGGAAAAAUUUGAUAAACAAAGACGUGAUGUGAUAUAAUGCAUUCACUAUUGAUGUCUUGUUGAGCAGUUGGUUUGCUGCUUUAUAAUUACUGGCCUUUAACCUGUGCGAAGCACGGGCGAAUAUAUAGUUCAUAAUUUAUUAUUUAUAAUUUAAAUUUUAACAUCAUUUUAUUAGUAUUUUAAUAUUAAUAGAUUGAAUUUAAUUAAAUUAUAUUAUUCGACUGACUAUAUUUUCUCCCAAUUACUUGAAAAUGGACAAACCCUAACAAAUAUAUAUAUAUAAUACAUUUUAAUCCGAAUUUAGUACAUGUAGAUUUAAAAAUUAAAAAAAAUCAGAAAAUUCAAAUCUUUUCCAAACAUAAACGAUCUUGUAAUACAUUUGAAAGAUUCAGUAAUUUAAUCAAUCGAAUUUCAACAUAAUUCUGUAAUCUUGAUUUUUUUAAAGAUUAGAGUUAGAAAAGGUUAUGUAAUGUUUGGUGUUUAUAUUGAUAUAGAACACGUUAAAGUUAAAAAGAGUUAUAUAAAACUUCUUGUUAAAAGAAGAUAUUCAAAAUUAUUAUUUAUAAUUUUAUUUAUAACAUCAUUAUAAUUUUUUAAUGAAAUAUUAUAUGAUAAGGUAUUGUUAGGAGUGUUUUUAGUAUUUGAAACUGUUUAAUAAUGUAAGAUUAAUAGACUCCACAUUUGUAGACUUGUAGUACCAAAAGGAGAGUACCAAACCAAAAAAUAUAAUUAAAACUUAGGAUUACAAAUUAUACCCAUGGCUUAUUAUAGUAUAGUAUAGAUGGGUUUUCUUUGCGUUCGUAGGCUAAAAGAUUGCUUAACUCAUGGCCAACUUGCACUUUGUUAACUAAAAAGCUUACAAACAAAGUUGAGAACUAGAUUUAUCUUGCUAUUUAGUCAUUACUCAUUAACAUUAAAAAAUAAAGUUUCCACCGCCUUUAACUCUUGUUUAGUUUUUAACCGGAAAAUAUUAGUAAUCGAGUCUUUCAGUUAUUUCAAUGCAAAUUUUUAUUAGUUCUUUACCCCAAAGGCAAGUUAGCCUAUUGACCUGUUUCAUUUAAUAAAAAUGCCUUAUUCAGUUCGGUCCCAAUCUGUUUGAAAAAAAUUAAUUAUCAUCUUUUUACAAAACCAAAUAUGACAAUUAAAAUAGGACGGACGGAAUACUGGAAGAUGGACAAUCUGUAAUCAAAAACACGCUGUUGAACCUCGAGGCUUUGACUGUGUUUAGCUUUGAUCGUUGAAUACGUAUUUCAUUCAACGCACAGUGUUUGAAAAAAACUGAUGGGGAGUCCCUAUAAAAGAGUAAACUUAAAAACACAAGUAGAUAACAUAGAAUAACACAAGCAAAAACAUUAUUCCUACUAGAGAUUAGAAGAAGAAAUAUGGAGAGCAGUUCAUCGACGGCAUCAGUAGCACUAGGAGUGUAUUGGUAUAACUGGGUCAAUGAUCAAGUCAUCUCUCAUUUUUACGGCUUCACUAGCCUCUUGGGUUUCCAAACAGCCACCAGCAGCAACAACAUUGAGGUGGUUUCCAGAGCCCGUAAGCCUCCGCAAAAACCCAUAAGCAAAGGGAGUGGUCCUAAAACCAACCAAGCUUCUGCAUAACACACUAGCUAUGGCUAAGGCAAUAUGUCACAACUGUAAACUAAAGCUGAAUGUGAAAGAAAGAAAAUCUCCAUUAAAGCUCUAUAAAAGUGUUUGUACAUAGCUCUCUACUUUGUUUCUAUUCUACUUGAAUGAAAAAUAAUGUGCUAUUCUCUAAUAUAUACAAAACAGACUAACUCUGUAACUACUUUCUGAAACUAACUACCACUACUUUGCUGAGCUGUCAUUUCGGGACCACAGCUGUCACUCUGCUUUUCCCGCCUCUUCUCUUGACUCUGAUCACUACUAGUAUACUGAACAUCCCCCCUCAAGUUAGGUGUAUGAAACAAGUUGAACACACCUAACUUCGAGAGUAAAUAGCGCAGUUGGUAUGAGGGUAAAGCCUUAGUGAAUAAGUGUGCAGGUUGCUCUGUUGAUGGAAGAUGAUGUGUAACCACAAUUCCCUGCUUAACCUUCUGGCGAACAAGGUGACAAUCUAUUUCAAUGUGUUUCGUAAGCUCGUGAAACACAGAAUUAGAGGCAAUGUGAAGGGCAAACUGAUUGCCGCAGUACAGAGAGACAGGAGUAAGAUUAGGUACAUAUAACUCUUUGCAUAAGGACAACAGCCAUGUAACUUCACAGCAUGAAUCUGCCAUUGCUCUGUACUCAGCCUCUGCUGAGGAGCGAGAAACUGUAUGCUGGCGUUUGCAUUUCCAGGAGACUAGUGAAGACCCCAAAGUGACACAAAAGCCAGUAAUAGACUGUCGAGUCUGUUUACAGCUACCCCAAUCAGCAUCAGUAAAAAUUCGUAGAUUGAAGGAGGAUUUGGAUGAUAACAGUAUACCUUGUCCACAUGUAUGCAUGCUUAAGGUAUUUAACCAACUUUAGAGCAGCCAACCAGUGAAUUUCUUGUGGCUUAUGCAUGAACUGGGCCAAUAUGUGUACAGAAUAGGAUAAGUCUGGACGAGUAAUAGUCAGAUAAAUCAAACGCCCAAUCAAUCUCCUAUAAGCUGAGAUAUCGGCAAGCAGGGAAGAGUUGGAUUCUGCUGUGAGAUUGUGAUUCUGGUCUAAAGGUACUAAGGAUGUCUUGGCAUCCUCACAUCCAACAUCCUUGAUAAUAUCCAUAGUAUACUUACGUUGAUUCAGAUAAAUUCCAGCAGCUGAGCGAGCAAUUUCAAUCCCCAGAAAGUAUUUCAAGGGGCCCAAAUCCUUAGUUUUGAAUUUGGUAGCAAGAAACUGAGUGACCUGAGUCAUUAAUUCAGGAGCAUUGCCUGUUAACACCAUGUCGUCCACAUAAACCAGUAAAACCACAAGCUUAUUGCCUUUCUUAAAGACAAAUAAACUUGAGUCACUGCAGGUUUGUGUGAAGCCAAAUUCAAGCAAAGCCUCAGAAAGGAUAGUAAACCACUCUCGAGGAGCUUGACGCAGUCCAUAGAUUGAUUUAAUGAGUUUGCACACUAACUUCUGGUUAGGAAAUUGUCGUAAGAUUUCUGGAGGGAUAGGAUAACCUUGAGGUAUUUCCAUAAACACUUCUUCAUGCAGAAAACCGUGUAAAAAUGCGUUGGUAACAUCAAGCUGUGUGAUGGACCAAUGGUUCAUAGCUGCAAGUGCAAGAACAACACGAAAAGUUGCCAUUUUGGCCAUUGGUGCGAACGUAUCAAAGUAGUCUAGACCCUCUGUUUGAGUAAAACCCUUGGCCACAAGGCGCGCCUUAUAUCUGUCUAUUUGGCCAUCAGGUAAAUACUUUACUUUAUAUAGCCAUCGACAUCCAACUGCCUUUUUGUUAGGUGGGAGAGGUACAAUUUGCCAGGUCUGAUUAGCUUCCAUAGCAGCUAACUCAGUAUUCAUUGCAGUGCACCACUCGCUUGAUUUACUUGCUUGAUUGGAUGUCUGUGGCUCUUGAAUUUUGGAAAUAUUAGCCAAAAAAUGUUCAUAAGAACUGUCAAAUGCAGAAUAUGAGACACAAUUUGUCAAGUUUUGAGUCACAGUACUCUGCAGUUGUGGAGGCAAGUUGGUGUAGUCUUUAAACUUGGCAGGAGCUUGCCUUUGUCUUUGUGGUCUUACUACAUGAGUAGUAGCUUCACUGAUAGGUACUGUAGGUGAAGAAUUAUCUUCAUUGAUAGACACUGUAGGAGAAGAAUUAUUAGAUCCUGUAGGCAUGCUCUGAUCAAUACUAUUAUCAGUACUAGUACUGUUGGGAACUGGAUAACUUGUGAUGGGAUCUGACUCCCAUUCAACAGUAGAGUUGUUCACAAAUAAUGGAGUGCUUUUCAAGGCAACGUCAAAAGUAUUCUGUUGGAAUGGAAAUUGUCGUUCAUCAAAGUACAGAUCUCUGGACACAAAGACUUGUCUAGUCUGCAUGUUUAAGACUUUAUACCCUUUUUAGCAUAGGGAUACCUCAAGAAUACUCCUUUAAUACCUCUAGCUGCAAAUUUGUCACUUGGUUGAGGAACUGUAGUUGCAUAACACAGGCAGCCAAAUAUUCGAAGUCGAGAAUAAUCUGGCUUAGAGUUAAACAGCACCUCAUAUGGUGACUUGCCUUGAAGCACAUGGGUAGGUGUUCGAUUAAUAAGAUAGCAAGCAGUUAACACACAGUCUCCCCACAGAGUAAGAGGAACAUUGGACUGAAAUCGUAAGGCUCGUGCAACAUUCAUAAGAUGUCUGUGUCUUCUCUCCACAAUUCCAUUCUGUUGUGGAGAGUAAGCACAAGUGGUUUGAUGGACAAUACCAUUUUGUGCAAACAAUUUAGACACAGUUUGAUUUACAAACUCAGUACCAUUGUCUGAGCGCACAACUUUAACAGAGGUUUUGAACUGAUUUAUAACAUAAUUGAGAAAAUCAGAUAUAAUACGACUAACACUAAUUUUAUCUGGUAGCAGAAAAACCCAUGCAGCACGAGACAUGUCAUCAACAUUAAUGGUUAAAAAAUAAGAACAACUGCCAUGAGUUUUAAUUCGAUAUGGUCCCCAUAAGUCCAUAUGGACAAGAUCAAACACAUUUGAACUACAAGACUCACUAUUAGCAAAAGGAUGUCUAACUUGUUUUGACAGAUGACAAGUAUCACAAGUAUGAUUGACAGAAGUUUUACACUGAAAAGGAAACAAUUUUAAGACAGACAUAGGCACAUGGCCAGUUCUGGCAUGCCAGAGAUUAGUAUCUGCAGUGUGGGAGGCAACAGCUGAACAAGAGUAUGUAGAUGAUAGUUUGCAAGCAUUUAGAAUGUAGAGACCAUACACAACUUUACCAAUCUCUAGGUCCCUCAUCAAGAUAGGGGCCUGAAGAAAGCAACAAUCAUUCUUAAAAACAAUAGAAGACACCGAAUCAGUCACAAACUUGGAGACUGAAAACAAGUUAUAAUGAAACUGAGGAACACACAGCACAUUGUGAAGAAUAAUAUGAGAACUAAGAGUGAUAGAUCCCAUAUGAGUAACAGGUGCAGUGUGACCAUUAGGAUGAUAUAAUAGAGACUGACAAGACACAACAUUGGAAGUAGAUGUAGGUGAGGUGUUACAUGAUCAGUAGCACAUGUGUCGAUAAUCCAUUCAAAAUUCUUGUAAGAAUUAUUGUGUACAGGACUAGCAAAAUGCAGAAAUGUACCUGCAAACUGAGUACUAUUAACUGUAGCAUAUGGAUUCAUAUCAGCAGCUGGUUGAAUUGUGGUAUGAUUCAGCAGUUGUAGAAGUUGCUUGUACUGACUCUCAGAAAACUGAAAGUUGUUGUAUCAGUCUGAGAGGUAGAAGGAUUAGUCUGAGAAUUAUCAGGAGAGCUCUGUGAGACUUGAGCAGCCACAACAUUUCUUGAGGAGAUAUGUUUAGGCUUGGGCUUGGGUUUGCCAUACAUUUUGUGCCACUCAGGGUAACCAUGCAGACAAAAGCAUUUGUCCUUGACAUGUCCUUGCAUAUGACAAUAGUCACAGUAGAUUGGAACAUCAGAUUGAGUCUUCUUGAUUUCUUUCGAAAAUGUAGCCUUGAAUUUCACUGCUAAGGCCACACUAUCAGCAGUAGGAUGCGAAUUACUAGCAAUCCCUCUCUGAUUCUCCUCUUGCAACAGUAUGGAAUAGCAUUUGCUAAGGGAGGGUAAAGGAUUCAUUGCUUAAUCCCGACACCAAAUGUCCUGUGUUAUUAACCUGCAGUUUGCUCAUGUUACCAAAACUACACAAACUCGUGAUCUGAUCAACCAUUUCCAUAUUCUCCUCCUCUGGUGAAAAGGGUCUCCCCAGAAACUGCGCCAGACGCCUGAGUUGAGCAUGAGGCUCAGACUUCAACUCUUCAUACCUCAUAAACAGCACCUUGUUUAUUGUCGAAUGGAGUGGUUACUUGUGAAUAGGUUUCAAGUAGUUAUUAAUUAGUAUAAUAUCUUUAACUAUCAGUAAUUACAAGUUAUUUCCGGUCUUGCAAUGUUGCCAUGUUACCCUUAUUAUAUUCCUCGAUAGUGAAAAAACUAUUCUGUCUUAAAUAGUAAAACGACAUAUAGAAUUUGAAUGUUGGGAACUUGGUGUUUGGUUCUGGAAAAACUAUUGUGGCGUAUAUUGUGAUCCCACAAGGAUAAGAACAAAUAAUGUAUUGUAUUUUUAUAUUAUUCUUAUAGUACUCUUGCCAUAUCCUAAAUUUGUGUUCCAGACUAGUUAUAUUCUCUUCAUAUUCCAGUAAUGAUUAGCUUUGUGUAAAGAUUAUAAUUUCUUAGCAGCUUGCAAAGAUGGGUUCUAAGAAAGGGUCCUAGAUAUAUUAAAGAGAAUUUGGAGAUAAUUGUCUGUUAAAAAUGAUAAGAUCUGUAUUUUGGUUAAAACUAGCACCCUUGUGUUACUUGUUACCAAUCAUUAAUAUUGAUUUCAAUUAAUUACAUAUGUAUGAAGAUCCAAGUAAGUAUAGAAUGGAUUGAAUAUUUGUAAAUUCUUUGUUUAAUUGAUUAAUUCAUUCUGAUUUGAUUGUCAAGUACAACCUUUGUAAUUUAUUAUUUGUGUACAGUUGCUCUGACUUGGUUCAUAAAUAAAAAGUGGUAAAGCUUAAUGUUUGAUGUGUAAAUUAGCAUGUAUAGAGUGUUGUUGUGCUGAGUGUUUGUAUAAUUUUAGCCUUUUGCUUGUGUAUAAAUAUUUGUUAUGAUGUUAUUUAAUGAAAUUAUGAUAUUGCGGAUUGAUUAAUUAUGGUAUUGAGGAGUGAUUGGUGAAUUGGAUAAAAAAAAUUAUGGGUGGGAUUAUGAAAGGAACAAAAAAGUCAUGCCAAUUUUUUUUUUAAUUUUUUUUAAUAAUAUUAUGCAAGUAACUGAAUUCAGUCAUAUUUAGCUCAUUUUAUUUGACCAAAAUCAGUCGAAAUUAUAAAUGUGACCAUUGAACAGUAGUCAAAUUUAUAAAUAUGACCGCUGAAUAUCAGUCAAAUUUAUAUAUAUGACUGUUGAUAAAAUAGUCAAAUUUAUAAAUAUGACUGAUUAGUUAGUCAAAUUUAAGUACAAAAGUGGGAAAUUUGAAUUUGACGAAAAAAUUGGAGGUGAAAAAUCAGAGUUAAAAAUGAUCGAUUGAAGUCAAAUUAGGCGGUCAAAUUUAAGAAGUCAUAUUUAACCGGUCAUAUUUAAACAGUCACAUUUGAUUAAAUAUGACCGAGAAUGUUAGAUUCCACUAAGUUAUUUAAGACCAACAAAUUCUGGUCAAAUUUAGCAGGGAUAAAAGCCAUUCUUAGCUAGCAGGGAUAAAAGCCAUUCUUAGCUAUAAACCAGUACUGUCUCAUGAGCAUCAAACUCUGUUGUUUUGGCUUCCAUGUUGUUUUGGCUUCCAUGAUAUAUAUGUUGUGCAAGUGUAACAUGCGGAAGAAACGCAUGAGAUAUAUAAGACCAUCUCCAACCCAUAACACCAUUUUGGUGUGAAAAAUACACCAAUUUGGUGUGAAAACUACACCAAAUCAAAAUUUCACUCCAACCCAUCAACACCAUAUCCUACACCAAAAAGAAUCUUUUACACAUUAAAUGGAAUAUUCUCUCUUUUUAAGUUAUUUAUAUCAUUAUUGAAUUUGUACUUAAAUUUUAACAUGUUCAAUAAACAAGGACCUAAAAUAAUUAUAAAUUCAUUAAUAAAUUCAAGAGGACAACUUAAUUAUAUGAAUUCCCAUGCUCUUCCCAUAUGUGCUCGAUCAAGGCGUUGCGAAGUUCAAAUUGAGCUUCCUUAUCUUUAAUUUGUCGAUAUCUAGUAAGAAAAUCUUGAAAUUCGUCAUCUCCAUUUCUUUCCAUUUCUUUCCAUUUCGACAGCAGCAGAAGAUGUUUCCACGUAAUCAUGUACAUGCAAAUUUAAGUCUCGUUCAUCCUCAACUAUCAAGUUGUGCAUGAUAAUACAUAUGUGAGGGUAUACAUAUGUGAGGUAAUUUUAAUCAUUGUUUAUUUUAUUUUUAAUCAAAUCUAUUUAAAAAACAUAUCUUCUAUAUAAGAAUAUAAAUUUAUUGAUAUUUGGAAAUAAAUAAAAAACUUGAGUAAAAUAGUAAAGAAAGAAAAUUUAAAACAAUUAUGAUUAAAGAAUAAAUAAUAUAACAUAAAACAACUUUAAUGGGACAUAGAUGGAAUAAUUUUGUUUUCAUUAACAUAUGUGAGGGUAUAGUAGGUAUUUUAGAAAACUCCAAAUUUGGUGUAAAAGUUACACCAAAUCAAUACUUGACACCAAAUUUGGUGUCAACCAAUUCAUUUGGUGUCAACUUUACACCAAUUUGAUGUUGGGUUGGAGUGAAUUUGACACCAAAUUUGACACCAAAAUGGUGUUUUGGUGUUGGGUUGGAGUUGCCCUAAUGCAUGCAGCAUUAAGGCCUUGUUUGUUUGGUGGUUGGCGUUGGUUACCCUGCAUGAAAAACUUAUACUAUUAUUUUUAAUGCUUUCACCCCGGUGGUUGAAAAAAUUGAUGAAUAUAACAAACAUUAGGAAUACUGAAUAUAGCCCAGCAUGGCUCGAUGUGACCCAAUUAAAUAAUUGAUAGUGCCUCGUAUCUACCUACUCCCUCCGUCC
rnacentral:lncRNA from 1 species